CACGUAGGGUGCGAGCGUUGUCCGGAAUUAUUGGGCGUAAAGAGCUCGUAGGCGGUGUGUCACGUCGGCCGUGAAAACCUACAGCUUAACUGUGGGCGUGCGGUCGAUACGGGCAUCACUGGAGUUCGGCAGGGGAGACUGGAAUUCCUGGUGUAGCGGUGAAAUGCGCAGAUAUCAGGAGGAACACCGGUGGCGAAGGCGGGUCUCUGGGCCGAUACUGACGCUGAGGAGCGAAAGCUAGGGGAGCGAACGGG
rnacentral:rRNA from 1 species